CUCUUUUUAAAUCGCAACGAUGAGAAAUGGCACUCAUAUAUACUCGUCAAAUAAAAAUUGCCGGUCGAAAUCGCAUUCUUCCGGCACCGUUGGGAAUUGCAUGGAAAACGAAACAUAAACAAUUCCCAAGAGGGAAUUAAAAUUGAAUGUUAAAAUAUCUACAAUGAGCUCAACUCGUCAAUCUUCGUCUCAGUGAGACAAGAAG